rnacentral:lncRNA from 1 species
GAGGCGGACGGUCACGAGGUUAGAAGAUGAAGACCAUCCUGGCUAACACGGUGAAAUCCCGUCUCUAAUAAAAUACAAAAAAUUAGCCGGACGUGGUGGCGGGCGCCUGUAGUCCCAGCUACUCAGGAGGCUGAGGCAGAAGAAUUGCUUGAACCCAGGAGGUAGAGGUUGCAGUGAGUCGAGAUCGCUCCAUUGCACUCCAGCCUGGACAAUAAGAGUGAACCUCCGUCUCACAAAAAAAAAAAAAAAAGUAAUUCAUCUACAGUCACAAAGUUCAUCCAUAGGAGAAUUGGGAUUUGACCCCAGGGCUAGUGUACUCCAGAGCCUGGCCAGUCCAUGUCAGCAUGUUGUUCCUUAGAUGAUGUGUUACAUCUGCCUGGAGCAGUAAAAGAGCUAUGAAUACUGACAGCGUCUACAUGUGUGUAUAAAGGUCACAUGGAUCAUGACUUAGAUUCCGCAGGUCUUUGAGAUCAUCUCUUUCAAACUUCUACACCCUAAUAAGCAAUUCCCUCUACAACAUUCCAAGUAAAUGGUUUCUCAGUCUGUGCUUGAGCUGUUUUUAAAUGAAAAAAAAAUGUAGUAAAUGGCUGUGAAUAUGAUCACACUUACAUAUAAAUAUUCAUCCCGUGGUUGAGUUUCUGCAGCAACGCUCUACUUGGGAGCAAUUGUGCAAACAGCCAUGCUCAGGGUGGAUCAGAGAAUUCCCACCAGCAGAGCCAGGCACCCAGGAGAGACCCAGCAAUGAGGUAUAAUCAAGAACUACAGUCCUUGUUGUUGUUUAUGUGCCUUCCUGGGACUGACAAUCUUGAAAGUUGUCCCCAAAAGGGCCAAACAGCAUCCUUUUAAGAUGGCACAAACAAGAUCAACAUAACACAAAUUCAGAAAGAAGGGGGAUCCCUUACAAUCCCACCGGCCGAACUCAUCUGUUUCCAUUCUUCUUGCUUCCAAUCCUUACCCACAUGUAAACAUGAUUUUUAGAGUUAUAAUCAAGUAUACUUGCAAUUUGCUAUUCCACUCUGCAUGUUUAACAUUAUAUCAUC